rnacentral:lncRNA from 1 species
CGCCAGCUUGCUCUCCAGGGUGUGGCGGUUAUCCUUACAGCGAGGGAUGAGAAACGAGGAAAAGAUGCUGCCGAGUCCCUUCGCUGUGAAUCCGAACUCACCAACAUAAUCUUCCAUCAGCUUGAUGUCAGAGAUGAUAAUAGUGUCACCUCAUUGGCCUGGUAUAUUGAAAGCAGAUAUGGGAAGCUUGAUAUCUUGGUAAAUUGUAGUCUGUUAUUCCUAGUAUUAAAUGGCACCUCUUUGUGUCUUUUGAGAAUACAUAAAUGACAGUACAAUGGGUGAUACAGGUGAACAAUGCAGCUGUUUUAGGAAUUGUAGCAGAUGAGGAAGGCCUGAAAGCUCUCAACAUUGGUGCAGAGACCUGGGUAACACAAUGCGCUUGUUCUUUAGCUUUCAGCUGCUUAUCUAUUUGAGCUGUUUACUUUAGAUUCAGAAAGCUAGCUUUUUCACUAGGAUCAACAAUGCCUGUAGUUUGUUUUCUUUUGGGCAUGCUUAUGAACAACUUGUUGUCGGUACAACCAAUGGUAUGUGCUUCACUCACUGUUAAUAUUUGUGUUGCAGACAUCUGGCAGGGCCGCUAAUCUUCUUAAAGAAGUAUUCCAGAAUACCUAUGACGAGGCGUUAAACUGUCUCAAUACCAAUUACUAUGGAUGCAAGCGGGUAACCGAGGCUCUUCUUCCACUUUUGAAGCUGUCUACAUCAGGUGCAAGGAUUGUUAAUGCCUCCUCCCUUGCGUCGGAGCUGAAGGUGCAUCGUCUAUAUCUAUUUUUUCACCACUAAAAUUCUUGCAUUUCCACACAAACUAAGAAGACAUUGAUACUAGCAGCACUUACCGUAGCACAUGUAAUUGAUUUUGUUACCAGAGAAUGCCAAACGAGAAGCUUCGAAAUGAUUUGUGCGACAUCAACAUCUGGGAUGAGGACCGAAUAGAAGCACUGCUGAACACAUUCUUGGAGGACCUGAAGAACGGGCGGCUUGAAGAGGCCGGGUGGCCCAUGAUGCUGGCAACAUACAGUGUAUCGAAAAUGGUCAUCAAUCUGUACACCAGGAUUAUGGCAAGGAGGUACCCAGAGAUGCGCAUCAAUUGUGUGAGACCUGGUUCCGUCAAGACUGACAUUUGCUGGAAUCUAGGGCUCUUGACGCCUGAACAAGGUGCAAGAGGGCCAGUCAUGCUAGCUCUGCUCCCUGACGAUGGACCAACUGGGUGCUAUUUUGAUCAGACAGAAAUGGUGAAAAUUUGGUGAUCAACGGUUGAAUGGAUCGUUCGUUGGCCAGUUUGUGUGAUAUUAUUUACCCAGAUUGUGAGACAAUAAGGGCAUCUUCAUAUCUCUAAAUAAACACAAAACACACGGUAAAAUCUUCUCAUGACAUGUUCUUCUCAUGACACAAAACACACGGUAAAACACACGGUAAUGCCAUGAUUUGUUAGAGCAGUUGGUUUUGUAUCCACAUGUUCUUUGCUGUUCCGAUUUGGAAUAAAUUUUCCAUGUUUGUAUUCUGAACAACAAUAAAGAGUUGAGCUCAUCGAAUCCUAAAAAUAAAUAGUCGAUUUUCAUGGGGAUUGAUUUAACGUUUUUAUGUUUGAUGGUAGUAAAUGCUGCACUUCUCUGUUUGACAGGUCAACAGCAGUUGCCUGUUCUGUUCCACCGAAAAAUCAUCCAACCUUCGCCAAAGCCUCUCCUCUACUUGGUUCACUGCUUCGUGGGCCCUGAGCAAUUGCCGUCCGGAGCGCUGCUCACCUCGGACGCCGCCGGCGGCACAUGGCUGCCCUGCCACAGAGCCCACAGCCCCGGCGCCGGCGUGCACAUUGCAGAGAGCUUAAAAAAAAGUUAGGGUAAUUGGUCGCUGAUGCGGCGGCCAAGCCCGCUGCUCAUUGCGCCCUCGCCUACCCUACCACACCCUCACAGGUGGCCGCCACCCUCUAGUCCCGCCAGAGAGCAUGACAAGAGGUAGAACACGACGACCCCGAGCCCGAGAUGCGCCACCUCGGGGCGUCCCCGAGCUCGCCUUGUAGGGUCCGAGUUCGACCCUCCGCCGCGGCACCGUUACCCCGCGCCCGUCUCCAGCCGCGAGUCAGCUUCCCUGCCGGCGCUCGCCUGGUGCACGCGCGCGCGGCCGCGGCAGCCGCGGGGGCGACGCGGGCAUCGCCUCCGCAGCACAGGUCUCGUCCUCUCUCCUUGCGUGCGCGCGCGGCGCGGUGUCCCCCUCCUGUUAAACUCUCCAUGGAUGUAUUGCUCUGCUAUUGUCUGCUUUUCUUUUGAGCAAGAUAAUGCUAUACAGAUGUCUGAACUCUGAACACGGCUUUUGGAUAAGUUAGUUUGCAAGUUUAGAUUUUAAUUGCGGUGGUUAGUUUGCAGAUGUGGACAAGGGAGUGUCGAAUACAUUCAUCCUUCAACCAACAUAUUAUUCCACACAAAUUUUCUUUCUUGCCUAAUUUGUCGAUACAUAUAUGUUGCAAACUAUCAAGUAAUAGCCACGUGUAUAACAGGCUACACACAAUCAGUUAAACUGGACCUAAAAAGACCCAUUUGUCAGCUGAGUUUCCAGUUCGUGUUACUUUUCAUGUAUUUUUUGACAAGUUAUUUCAGGUUAUCCCACUCCCCUCCGUGGGAAAAAAUUAAGAUAUUAUGAUUUGACAAUGGUUUUCGGUGAGCGUUCAUAUAAUUGGCACAAAACAGGGUACCUUUUUAGAUUGUUACAAAUUAGAGUAAUUUUUACAUUCAUCUGCUUUUAAAUUUGUAAUUGCAGACACUGGGAACAAAUUAGAGUAUUUUUUUUGUUUUAUUUUUUUUAUCUUUUAACAUUUUUCUUUCUUAAUAAAAAACCAGCUAUGGCCGCACCCCCCCCCCCCCCCCCCCCCCCCAAAAGACCACUUCCUAUGUAGCCGUGAGGGAUAAGCGCUGCAUCAUUAAAACUUUACACUCCUAUGUUGCACCUUCGUUUUUUGCUAGGAUUUUCAGUAUCAAGUAUGUGGUUCUUGUUGGAGCCCAACACCUCCACAGCCUUGUACCUGGGUAGACUAGGACUGGUUGAUCCUAGUUCUUACUUAGGUUGCUCUAAAAUUGUUUUCUUCCAGUUCUCUUAACGCCAUCAAUGCAUAUCUAGCCACUUUGUUAUUGUUGCGACCAUGGAUCAUAAAUCAAGAUUUCUGUUGCCACUUCCCAUUUUUGUAUGCUUAGGUGCUUCUACUGCUUUACCUGAUGCAACAAAGCUCACGUUGCUCCACAGGCUUGAUGCAGUAAGACAUGACCGGGCAGAAGUGAUUCCUGAAAGGUGAUUUUUAUAGUUUCGAAGCAAUGCUCUUCUUUCAUCGAUGAAUAUUGAUGCUAAUAUUUGGUAAACACGCCAGACUUGCAGUGGUCACAGGUGGAAACAAAGGAGUUGGCCUGGAAGUAUGCCACCAACUUGCUCUCCAAGGUGUGACGGUUAUCCUUACAGCGAGGGAUGAGAAACGAGGAACAUAUGCUGCUGAGUCCCUUUGCCGUGAAUACGAACUCCCCAACAUAAUCUUCCAUCAGCUUGAUGUCAGAGAUGAUAAUAGUGUCACCUCAUUGGCCCAGUAUAUUGAAAGCAGAUAUGGGAAGCUUGAUAUCUUGGUAAAUCGUAGUCUACUCCUAUUCAUAGUAUUAAAUGACAUCACUUUAUCUUUGAGAAUACGGAAGUGACGAUACAAUGGUUGAUACAGGUGAACAAUGCAGCCAUUACAGGAAUUGUAGCAGAUGAGGAAGGCCUGAAAGCUCUCAACAUUGAUUCAGAGACAUGGGUACUUAGAUUGUUCAUUAGCUUUCGGCAUCUUAUCUAUCUGUGCUGUUUACUUUGGUUUUAACCAGGAUCACCAUUUGUGGAACUCACACGCACUUGUUUGUAGGAGAUAAACAAGAAGCACUUCAGAUUUUUUGUGGUGCAGAACUAGAACCACUUUCUCUUUCUCAUAUUUACAGGGCUCACCUAGUUGAUUUAACCCUAGAGCAACUUGUGUACAUAAUCAGCAUGUUUCGAGUUCACAUUGACCUCGAUAUACUACUUGACUCUUUAAGUAACACAUGUCUCCUUUACUUAUGUACACAUGUCAAAGAGCACGCUCCUCAUGUUCAAGCUAAAGCUAGACAACAAGAUUAAUUCUAACACAGAAUGCAUCUAUAGUCUUUUGGAGUCAGAAUCUCAAUGCAUGUUUUAAUUGCUUUGUGUUUUGCGAGAACUUUAUUAUGGAUGUCUGUAGAAUUUUUUGUUGGCAUGGCUACAACCAAUGGUAUGUGCUUCACUCAUUAAUAUUUGUGUUUCAGACAUCUGGCAGGGCCGCCAAUCUUCUUAAAGAAGUAUUCCAGAAUAC